rnacentral:lncRNA from 1 species
CUGCCCUUUCCCCAUCGCUGAGCCCAGACGCACACCGGUGGGAGAAAGGCUGCGUGCUCACCGGGCUGGGGGGGAGCCCCACGGCCUGCCCCCACCACGGGGCAGCAGCCCCAAAUUAUAUGGGGCGGUGUUUGCCAGCUGCUCGCCCUCCCUCACACCUCUCCUCUCCACCCCACAGGGCCCGGCCGUGUCGGAUGGAGAAUUAAACGCCUCCAGGGCCCGGGGCAGCAACCACAGCGUGAACAGCCUGCCCGCCCCGCAGAGCACCUGCAGCUCCGCGCACGGCUCCGUGGCCAGCUGGGCAGAGUCCUUCGAGACGCUGCUGCAGGACCGCGUGGCUGUCACCUACUUCACCCUCUCUGCCCCCCCAGGAGUUCCUCAAGAAGGAGUUCAGCGCCGAGAACGUCUACUUCUGGCAGGCAUGC